GGACAGAGACUGCACCCUUCAAAAUUAUUGACAUUAAUUAAAUUCGGAUCCUAGAAAUAAAAGUACAUACAUUUAAUAGUUUUCCUUUUAAUUUUAAUGUCGAGACCAUACUACUUCCUCACAGCAGAUGUUCAAACUUCAGACUACAUGUUACAAAUGAGUAAAAGCAACAUGGUAAGGUUGUAAUACUCUAGCUUCACAUUAAAAUAUAUUUUGCCAAAGCCAGAAAUAAUAGUGUUUGCCUAUAAUCAGGAUCAAAAGGCAAAGCAGAAUGAUCAAAAGUAUGAUCAUAUAAUGAUCAACCAUAUAAUGAGUUAUAGGCAAGCCACAGGUUCAGAGUAAAACCCUGUCAUAAACAAACACACACUUCCUUCCAAUAAAUGAACAAAAUAAACAAUAUAUAUUAUCCUUAAAGGUUAUCUGGAGCCUGGCAAGAUGGCUUUGUGGAUAAAGGCACUUGCCACCAAGCCUGGUGACCUGAAGGAGCUUUCUUCAGGAUUCACACAAUGAAAAAAAAAAAAAAAACAGCAUGAAAUUUCAAGUUAUCCUCUGAAUGUCACACAUAUACACAAAAUUAAAAUACAGUUUAAAAAAAAAAGGUUAUAAAAAGAUUAUUUUAGAGCUAGAGAGAGGGUUUAGCAAUAAAGGACUUCUCACAGAAGACAAGGGUUCAAUUCCCAGCACCCACACAGCAGCUCACAACAUCUUAAUUCUAGUUAUUCCAAAGGAUCUGACAGUUCUACUGCUCUCAGAGUGCACCAGGGGGGCAUGUGGUACAUAUAUCGACAUGUAGGCAAAACACUCAUAUGAAUAAAAUAAAUAAAUAAGUCUUUAAAGUAAUACAUACAAUGUAAAACUGGUGUUGAUUUAAAGCAGUUAACUGGUAAACUCUUAUAUUUUAAAUUUUAUAUGCAAUAUCUUUCUUAUUGUAAUUAAAAAAUACCAACAGACAGUGCUUAAAUAAGUAGGAAUAAAUGCUAUAGUUACACAAACAGGAAGCAGGCAAUGCUUGGCCCACACUCUCAUUAAAUACACUGAGAAAUACUAACAGUACAACUUAACAUUUCACUGCCUACCACAUAAACCUCCUACCACCAGCUUCUCCUUAGGAUAUCCACAAACUACAUACAGAAAGGCUGAGACAUGCAUACAUAACUUUUUUUCAAAGGCACAAGAAUAAAUUAGCUAUGAACUCUUAAGAAUAUAGUGCAUCUUGUAUUAUUCCUCAAUGAUUCAGCUACUCGUUUAAGAAAGACUAAUACAGGAAAUGAUUUGUCUACAAAGCACAAACCAUACACAACAAACUCAAUUCCUUAGUAAGCAAAACUAAGAAUUACCUCAAAGAUAAUUCCAAAGGCUAUCUAUUCAUUUGUAUUUGCACAAUACAGAACACCUAACUUAGAACACUAUGUAACAAAGUUAAGUUGCUUCAUCUAACUCAUCUUGAUUCUGUUAAAGCACGAAACAGCCAGGAUCUCUAGGACUUGUUUCUUUACAAAACAGUAUAAAAUUAACUCCUGCUAUGCUAAUCUGACAAUCUAGUCCUAGUUUUAGGGUAAUAGUUAAACUUUAGAUUAUAUAAAGCACACAAGCAUAUAGGAAACAAUUACUUCAGUAUUUACCCUUUUUUCAACAAGAGUAGCUUAGAAUCCCCCUCCGGACAAACACCUCUACUUAGGAGUAUGCCUUUGUUCUUUUGGGAAGGAAAAUGCACUCCCUGAAGUACACCUAAACCCUCUUGAGGACACACAAUAGCUAGUAGGCUGUUUACACUUUACAAUGUAGCUUAUGGUUAAUGCCUACCUCACUGCUAGACAGAAGAGGAGGAUACUUUACAGAUGCUGCAUCCACUUCUAGCAAUGGGCUCUGAGCAUCCUUAAAAUGCACAUUUUCAAUUUUUGUACAAGCAGGCUGCUCAGAUUCUUUUUUAUCUAAAGUAGAGUUCAACUCAUAAUCACAUUUUUGCUUCAGCUCUUCAUAGGCACCACUACUACUCAAUCCUAAAGCCUUGUUGACUGUCUCGGUCAGGAAUCCGUCUGAGUGUCGUGCAUUUGCUAGUGCUUCCGAUAGCCAAUUAUAAAGCUUGUGGAUGUCCCCAGUGUUCCCGGAAUCUUCCUGCUGCACUCUCAAGUUAGGAUCCUGUCCAAGUAAGCCAAUGGACUGUGGAGAUUCUGAGGAAAACAAAGAAAAGUUCUCUUCUAUUUUAAAAGCCAGUAUACUCAAUCUAUGACAGGAUAACAAAAUGUAAUAUAUUAUAAAAAUCAAAUGUAACUUAAAAGUCACUUGUAAGACAUUUAUGGAUAGGGACUAAAUGUAUUUAUGACCUUUACUGUAACUGUUUCUG
rnacentral:lncRNA from 1 species